AAUGCCACGGGCUGCGCUCCCGCCCGGGAGCCCGGAGCCGGAUCUACAAUCCGGUUCCUCCCGCUCCGGCGCUUGUUGCUCGCCCGGCCCGAGCAGGAGCUGCGGCCGCCGGGAACUGAAGCUUCCUGGGUCUCCUUUCCUGCUCGCGCCCCACCUCCCCGGAGAUCUGCUAGAGGGGGCGGGCAGCAGCGUCCGCGGGAGAGUAGGGGCGCCGUGUGAACGGCAGUUGCCCCCGGUCUUCAAGUCUUGGGGCGCUACGCAGCCGCGGGGGUUGGGGAGAGACAUGUGUCCUCGCCCACUGUCCAGCUUCGCCGCCACCCGCGCUGGAAGAGGAGGGACCGUGGAGCCCACACCUGCGAACUCGCCCUAGAAGUCUCGGGGCGAGGCCGGGGGCCCCUCCCAGUCCUCCGGGGCCUCCACUUCUAGGCGGGCUUGGCAGGUAGGGCGCGGGCGGAAGCUGUAGAGCAGCUGAUGCAAUGGGCUUUGGCCUGAGCCAGGUGAUGGCUGGGGGCAGGGAGAGCUGGAGUUACCAUGUCUCCUGUGAUCGUGACCCUAGAGGUGGAGAAAGGCGAGGAAGACUGGCUACGGAGAUUGCUCCUAAAAUGGCUCCAGGUGGCUUUAGCCCCUGUCCGGGGACCCGUGCCAAUGACCCUGUUGAUGCUUUCGUUUUCUCCUCUCGUGGUGCUGUGAGCGAGUGUCCACAGCGGCAUGGGCAACCAGGUGGAGAAACUGACCCACCUAAGUUACAAGGAAGUUCCCACCGCCGACCCGACUGGCGUGGACCGGGACGAUGGGCCUCGCAUCGGAGUGUCGUAUAUUUUCUCCAAUGACGACGAGGACGUGGAACAGCAGCCACCGCCCCAGGGGCCUGAUGGUGGCGGGUUCCCGGACUCGGGGGACGGGCCGCCCCUACCACCGCCACAGCCCUACGACCCGCGACAGCACGAGGUAGAGUGCUCCGUGUUCUACCGCGACGAGUGCAUCUACCAGAAAAGCUUCGCGCCGGGCUCGGCAGCGCUGAGCACCUACACGCCCGAAAACCUGCUCAACAAGUGCAGUCCGGGCGACCUGGUGGAGUUUGUGUCGCAGGCGCAGUACCCGCACUGGGCGGUCUAUGUGGGCAAUUUCCAGGUGGUGCACCUGCACCGGCUGGAGGUGAGCAACAGCUUCCUGACCGACGCGAGCCAGGGUCGUCGCGGCCGCGUGGUCAAUGAUCUGUACCGCUACAAGCCGCUGAGCCCCAGCGCGGUGGUGCGCAACGCACUGGCGCACGUGGGCGCCAAGGAGCGCGAGCUCAGCUGGCGCAACUCGGAGAGCUUUGCCGCCUGGUGCCGCUAUGGCAAGCGGGAGUUCAAGAUCGGUGGCGAGCUGCGCAUCGGCAAGCAGCCCUACCGCUUGCAGAUUCAGCUCUCGGCUCAGCGCAGCCACACUCUGGAGUUCCAGAGCCUGGAGGAUUUGAUUAUGGAGAAGCGGCGCAACGACCAAAUCGGACGCGCGGCAGUGUUGCAGGAGCUCGCGGUGCACCUGCACCCGGCUGAGCCGGACGAGGGCGAGAGCGACGCGGCUCGGACUACGCCUUCUCCCCGGCCGCGCCCCCCUGCGCCGGGCUCUGAGGAAGAGGAUGGAGAGGCGGUGACGCACUGAAGACGUCGUGGGCUCAGAGCUGCUGAAGAGCUGUUGGCAGCGGUCGCAGCCCCCUCCUCCUCUCCCGCCCCACCUGCCUCCUCCUCCUUUUGGGCCCCAAUUUGGUAUUACUGGGCCCCUGGAAAACGGAGAGUUGGUGAAAUACGCAACGGCUGUGGACGGGGAGGAGGAAGGGGACCUAGGGCGCAGGAAUAAAACUUAGAACUAUUUUGUACUGUGAAUUACGGAUGCUCUUUGAAGGAAAGAAAUAUUGAUUCCAGCAUUCUUUGGAAGCUCUGUGAGGGGUAAGCAGGACAGCGCUGGAACAUACACUAAAUGAAACAAAUUCUAUUUUCUUAGCCGAGCAAAUAUUUUAUUGAGACUGCUUAUGUAUGUCAAAGGAGCCUACAACUCAGUUAUACAAGUUUUUGUAUCGGAAGAACUCAUACUUUUUGUAGCUUUUAUUCCACAUUUAAUUUAAAAUGACUUUGUAGCACUAAAAUACCUAGCAGAAGACUUUAUUCCAGAUCUUGAAGAAAAUUUUUAGUUUUUAUGAGAAAUGGUUCAGUGGUUAAGCUUCUCCACGCUUUGGUGCUUCCAGCCCUCCUGGCACCAUCGGACAGGAACACAACCACAUGAAAACAUAUUUUUGGGGAACAAAACUUUAAUUUUAUAUGACAUAUGCUAUGGAAAGCUAAGAAAAUUUAAGGACUACUUGUUUUCUAUUUUUUUUCCCCCUAAAAUAGGAUUCACUGUAUUAAAGACUCUUGAUAUUAUGUGUUGUCUAACCAAUAUUUAUUUUCAAAUUACAAUAAAAUUGAAUGUGAUUAUGGUCCUCCGAUGGAUUCGUUUGGAAAGUUAGAUUUUAUUUGUGAAUUUUUAAAAUCAGGAUAACUAUAAACUUGACUGGUUUAUUCAACUUUUGUUAUGUUGUUUUGUUCUUGACUAUAAAUUUGUGACUCGUGGAGAAUUACCAACAGGAUAAACUCCAUCUGCAUUUUAUUUCCCCAUAAAUUGUAUGAACCUUAUUUUUGUUGGAGGUUGUCUGUUAAAUCGGUUAUGUUCUUUUACCACUUCUUGAGAAGGAAGUUCCAAUUUGAAAUUGUAUCAUUUCCUUCAAAAUGAAGGGCAGUACUUAGUUAAAUAAAAGAUUGAUGAUAUCUUUUAA